UAGCGACUAGUUUAAGUAAAACUUUUGAUUUCGGCUCAAAAACUUAUGGUUAAAUUCCAUAGUCACUAA
rnacentral:tRNA from 1 species